rnacentral:rRNA from 1 species
UGGAUAAUAACCUCGGGAAACUGAGGAUAAUGAUCCAUAGCUGAUUCGGCUUGGAAAAGUGUUUCAGUGAAAUGGACAUAGAAAAUGGUCUAUGUCUGUCAUAGGAUGGGAUUGUGGUCGAUUAGGUAGUUGGUGAGAUAAAGGCUCACCAAGCCGAUAAUCGAUAGGGGCCGUGAGAGCGGGAGCCUCGAGAUGGGUACUUAGACAGCGACCCAGGCCCUACGGGGCGCACGAGGUACGAAACCUCCGCAAUACACGCAAGUGUGACGGGGUUACCCAAAGUGUCCUUAUUGGACUGUGGCGGGUGAGUAAUGUUCCCCGCUAGAAAGGAGAGGGCAAGGCUGGUGCCAGCCGCCGCGGUAAAACCAGCUCUUCAAGUGGUCGGGAUAAUUAUUGGGCUUAAAGUGUCCGUAGCCGGUUUAGUAAGUUCCUGGUAAAACCGGGCAGCUUAACUGUCCGUAUGCUAGGAAUACUGCUAUGCUAGAGGGCGGGAGAGGUCUGAGGUACUACAGGGGUAGGGGUGAAAUCUUAUAAUCCUUGUAGGACCACCAGUGGCGAAAGCGUCAGACUGGAACGCGCCUGACGGUGAGGGACGAAAGCCAGGGGAGCGAACCGGAUUAGAUACCCGGGUAGUCCUGGCCGUAAACGAUGCAUACUAGGCAAUGGUGCGGCUAUGAGCCGCAUCAGUACCGUAGGGAAACCGUUAAGUGUGCCGCCUGGGAAGUACGGUCGCAAGGCUAAAACUUAAAGGAAUUGGCGGGGGAGCACAGCAACGGGAGGAGCGUGCGGUUUAAUUGGAUUCAACGCCGGAAAACUCACCGGAGGCGACGGUUACAUGAAGGCCAGGCUGAUGACCUUGCCUGAUUUUCCGAGAGGUGGUGCAUGGCCGCCGUCAGUUCGUACCGUAAGGCGUUCUGUUAAGUCAGAUAACGAACGAGACCCUCAUCCUUAAUUGCUACUGAUAACUCUGGUUGUCAGGCACAUUAAGGAGACCGCUGACGAUAAGUCAGAGGAAGGCGAGGGCAACGGUAGGUCAGUAUGCCCUGAAUCCUCCGGGCUACACGCGCGCUACAAAGGCCAGGACAAUGGGUUUCGACACCGAAAGGUGAAGGUAAUCCCGAAACCUGGUCAUAGUUCGGAUUGAGGGCUGAAACUCGCCCUCAUGA